GUGUCAGCCGCCGCGGUAAUACGGAGGGUGCAAACGUUGCUCGGAAUCACUGGGCGUAAAGGGUGCGCAGGCGGCCCUGUAAGUCAGAUGUGAAAGCCCUCGGCUCAACCGAGGAAUUGCAUUUGAUACUGCAGGGCUUGAGUUCGGUAGAGGGAAGCGGAAUUCCUGGUGUAGCGGUGAAAUGCGUUGAUAUCAGGAGGAACACCGGUGGCGAAGGCGGCUUCCUGGGCCGAUACUGACGCUGAGGCACGAAAGCGUUGGGUAGCAAACAGGAUUAGAUACCCUGGUAGUCCACGCCCUAAACGAUGAGCACUAGACGUCGGGACCCUUGAGGUUUCGGUGUCGUAGCUAACGCAUUAAGUGCUCCGCCUGGGGACUACGGCCGCAAGGCUAAAACUUAAAUGAAUUGGCGGGG
rnacentral:rRNA from 1 species